CCUACGGGAGGCAGCAGUGAGGAAUAUUGGUCAAUGGACGAGAGUCUGAACCAGCCAAGUAGCGUGAAGGAUGACUGCCCUAUGGGUUGUAAACUUCUUUUAUAUGGGAAUAAAACGUUCCACGUGUGGGAUUUUGUAUGUACCAUAUGAAUAAGGAUCGGCUAACUCCGUGCCAGCAGCCGCGGUAAUACGGAGGAUCCGAGCGUUAGCCGGAUUUAUUGGGUUUAAAGGGAGCGUAGGUGGAUUGUUAAGUCAGUUGUGAAAGUGUGCGGCUCAACCGUAAAAUUGCAGUUGAAACUGGCAGUCUUGAGUACAGUAGAGGUGGGCGGAAUUCGUGGUGUAGCGGUGAAAUGCUUAGAUAUCACGAAGAACUCCGAUUGCGAAGGCAGUUCACUGGACUGCAACUGACACUGAGGCUCGAAAGUGUGGGUAUCAAACAGGAUUAGAUACCCUGGUAGUC
rnacentral:rRNA from 1 species